UUGGAGGGCAAGUCUGGUGCCAGCAGCCGCGGUAAUUCCAGCUCCAAUAGCGUAUAUUAAAGUUGUUGCAGUUAAAAAGCUCGUAGUUGAAUUUCGGGAUCAAUACGUCGGUCGUGCUUAGGUACGUACUGGCGUAAUUGAUUUCUCCCUUCUGACGAACCAUGAUGUCAUUAACUUGGUGUCAUGGGAAAUCAGGACUGUUACUUUGAAAAAAUUAGAGUGUUUAAAGCAAGCUAACGCUUGAAUACAUUAGCAUGGAAUAAUGAAAUAGGACGUUCGAUCUUAUUUUGUUGGUUUCUAGGAUUGACGUAAUGAUUAAUAGGGAUAGUUGGGGGCAUUAGUAUUCAAUUGUCAGAGGUGAAAUUCUUGGAUUGAUUGAAGACUAACUAUUGCGAAAGCAUUUGCCAAGAAUGUUUUCAUUAAUCAAGAACGAAAGUUAGGGGAUCGAAGACGAUCAGAUACCGUCGUAGUCUUAACCAUAAACUAUGCCGACUAGGGAUGGAUGAUGUUAAUUUUUAAUGUACUCAUUC
rnacentral:rRNA from 1 species